GCGGGCAACGGAAUCCCAAAAGCAGCUGUUGUCUCGAGAGCAUUCCAGCUGCGCUUGGAUUUCGUUCCCUGCU
rnacentral:miRNA from 1 species